rnacentral:rRNA from 1 species
UACGUAGGCAGCGAGCGUUGUUCGGAAUUACUGGGCGUAAAGAGUGUGUAGGCGGUGCUCUAAGUUCGGUGUGAAAUCUCCCGGCUUAACUGGGAGGGUGCGCCGGAAACUGGAGUGCUCGAGCGUGGGAGAGGAAAGCGGAAUUCCUGGUGUAGCGGUGAAAUGCGUAGAUAUCGGGAGGAACACCAGUGGCGAAGGCGAUCACCUGGGGUUGUUCUGACGCUGAGGAGCGAAAGCUAGGGGAGCAAACGGG